UACAGAGGGUGCGAGCGUUAAUCGGAAUUACUGGGCGUAAAGCGUGCGCUAGACGGUUAUUUAAGUCGGGUGUGAAAGCCCCGGGCCCAACCUGGGAAUUGCAUUCGAGACUGAAUAGCUAGGGUACGGUAGAGGGAAGUGGAAUUUCCGGUGUAGCGGUGAAAUGCGUAGAUAUCGGAAGGAACAUCAGUGGCGAAAGCGACU
rnacentral:rRNA from 1 species